rnacentral:rRNA from 1 species
CAGUCGCCGCGGGAAUACGUAGGGUGCAAGCGUUAUCCGGAAUUAUUGGGCGUAAAGAGCUCGUAGGCGGUUUGUCGCGUCUGCUGUGAAAACUGGAGGCUCAACCUCCAGCCUGCAGUGGGUACGGGCAGACUAGAGUGCGGUAGGGGAGAUUGGAAUUCCUGGUGUAGCGGUGGAAUGCGCAGAUAUCAGGAGGAACACCGAUGGCGAAGGCAGAUCUCUGGGCCGUAACUGACGCUGAGGAGCGAAAGCAUGGGGAGCGAACAGGAUUAGAGACCCCCGUAGUCCCUGUCUCUUAUAC